UUGAGUGUAACCAAGGUGUUGUUACUCAUCAACUAAUAUGCAGAUGGAAGAGGAUUCCCAGGCUGGGACAUGGCAGGGAACGGGGGAUGAUUGGAGGGAGAAGGUUGUGGACAUCUAUGACAGCAUCAAUGCUAACACCACCGGGCCUACGGAGACGAGCGAGACACGCACAAGUGACAGCCGCAGACAUGGGCACAAUAUUCUCGUGAAUAGUGAUUUAUUUAUUAUCUUCCUGAUGCUGAAUGGCAUAUAAUGUUCUUGGACUCUUUGUAAACAUGUGUAUAACCCUCCCACUUUUAGGAAAUGAUUCAUUAUACCAGCCUGAUUUAGGACAUCAGCUGUUGUGUCCUCGAGUGUAUCUGUUUGUGUGUGCAGCCCCUGCCAACACUCAGAGUAAGAACUAUCUGAACGCCGCUGCUUGUGGUUUGGCCCUCCUGUGUCUGCUGCUUCUGGCUGGCCUCAAAGGUCUAGCCUUCCAAUGAUUUCUUCUCUUCAGGCGUUUAGCUCGGUUUAACUGAUGCAGAAGACAAAGGGACCUGGAAGUGGGUGGAUUGAACUCUUCUGACUACAAAGUACUGGAAGAACGGUGAACCAAGUAAUGGAGGGGGAACCAAAACAGAAGGGGAAGACUGUGUUGAGCAUUUCAGACUGGAUGGAUGGAAUUUCGCACCGUGUUUAAAAAUUAUUUUCUGGAUCUGUGAGAAAAAUCUUGAUGCGUUAACAUUGCCUGAUCUACAUGUCUAAUAAAGUUUAA